CAGCCGCCGCGGUAAUACGUAGGUGGCAAGCGUUGUCCGGAAUUAUUGGGCGUAAAGGGCUCGCAGGCGGUUUCUUAAGUCUGAUGUGAAAGCCCCCGGCUCAACCGGGGAGGGUCAUUGGAAACUGGGAAUCUUGAGUGCAGAAGAGGAGAGUGGAAUUCCACGUGUAGCGGUGAAAUGCGUAGAGAUGUGGAGGAACACCAGUGGCGAAGGCGACUCUCUGGUCUGUAACUGACGCUGAGGAGCGAAAGCGUGGGGAGCGAACAGGAUUAGAGACCCCCGUAGUCCCUGUCUCUUAUAC
rnacentral:rRNA from 1 species